CCUUAAUGGCACUUCAGCCAAUAUCUCCAUGAAUAUACGUAUAAGUUAGGAUCAUAAAAACACAUUCAAAUUCUGCUUUUGCUUUGCUUUGAGCUAUGUUCAACAAUUUCUUGUGCACUAAGUAAAAAAAUGUGAGAUCAAAUGAAUCACCAAAUUUCCUCUAGUUUCCUGAUGCCACCCACAACCUGUAGACUCAGAUACAAACUGUCUCACAUUCACUUUAAAUAUGUACCUUUUUCUUAUUUUUUUUUUUAACUUUAGGGUAUUUUAACAAGCUUUAUGUAAGUUCGCAAACAAACUUGUUCCUGUCAAUAUUCAGUACGUGCAGCUUUCAAAGUGCUGCUUUUCAUUGCAUCUGCUGUCAUCAUGUCUUACAACUGGAAACUGGGCUUCUGGAUACUAUAAUAAUACACAUUAUUAUAAAAAUAAAGAGCAAAAUAGGAAAUUUUGGGUCACAGCUGCAAGGCUGUUGCCAAAUCACUAACCUCCCCCCUCCAAAACAGCAAUAAAAAUGGUCUCUGGAUUUUCCAGCACUGAAGGCAACGAAGUACAGAAGUUACAUUUUGAGAUGGAAUCCAGAAGCUGCCAAAAUGAAGAUAUGCAAUCUCCACUAGGGAAGAGGCGAUGAAAACCCGAGUACGUAGUCUGACAAGUGAAUCAUGUCAACCAAAAGAAAGCAACAAAAAUCAACUUGUAAAAAGCAUCUCUGUGUGUCAAAUUGUUCAAAGCAGUGGACACAUUGCUGAAACGAGUUCAGUAAAGAUGAACAUCUCAUCAUAGCUUUCAAGAGUUGAAGCUGCAUACCAGAAAGGGAAUGAAAUUCCAUAUCACACUGCAGCUGGCAGUGUAGGGGUGAUCACAGUAUGGGAACACUGCCUGCAGUGGAUCCUCAUCCUCUGCACUCAGGAGAGCCAUUAUGUUUGAUAGCCAAGACACUGGAAUCAAACGUGUUUAUUUUUCUAAGUGCACUGAGGAGCGAAUAUCACACACACAGAUGUGGCAGUCAUGCAGAUUGGUGGCAUGUAACAAUGGUGGGAAAGACAGUGGGGUUUCCAAAACCCCUUUGCAGACUGCUCAGUUCGAUGACUUUGCUACAGGGCCACAUCUACAAUUCCUGUAAAUUCCAUGUUGGGCAGCUACAAAAGUCCUGCUCCUCUAAUGUCCUGAGCUUGUUACUGGAGCUGUGGGGAGCAGGGCCUUUCACUGGAAAAUAAAAAUACCUAUAUGCUUUGGGACUACUGUGUGUUAAAAGAGUCUUUGCUUGUAAGACAGCUACUUUUUACUCUAAAUGACACUUUCAGUGAAGCGAGCAGCAGAGGAAUCAGUUCUCAGUAGUCCUGCACAGUACCUAGCGGAUGGUGAAUGUAUUACAUAUUUUCAAGAACUUUGAAGAAUCCCAUUGCAAAAAGAAAAAAAAGCGGCGAUUCCUUCUAAAGGAUGUGGUGUAAUGGACACAACUCAUCCAUCAUGCAACUGAGUGGCCUUCUGUUUUCUUGCUUCCAAAAGUAACUAGAUGCAAGAAGGUGCAAGGGUCUGAGAAAUACAACUAAAGAAAGAUGUAGUAGAUAAAGACAAAACCCAAAGAUUAGGCUGAAUGCAUCUGAACAGCGAUUUUGGACAGAAUUACACCAUAUUUUUAUUGUUCACAUGAAUAUUUUCACGUUUCAAAUGUAACUUGAGUAUUCAACUGUGCUUGGAUUACUGAUCUAAGCGCUGCUAGCUGUUAGUAAGCUUUCAUAUGAUUUAUUCUGUCAACAUCUCUGAGCUUUUAUAGAAAAAUAUGAGAAUGCAAAUUAUUAGAAAUUAUGUAAAGGGGGCUGAUCAAAUUACAGAUAAUAUGGAAAAACACAUUAGAACUUAAUUAACUGUAUGCAGGCCAAAGAUGAAACAAUUUCACAUUAAAAAACAACAACCAACAGCUCACCAGCGAAAAGAAAUAUGUUUUCAGUUGACACACAUGAAGGAAAAAAUAGGGCUCGUAAUUAAUACCUCUUCUUAGCAAUGCUUUUGCAAGCACAAGAACUGUUUUCUAUAGCUGCCAUAUUAAGCAAUGAUUCAUAUGGGAGGUUUGGUGUGGUGCAUUCAACAAACGGUGCUGGAAACCCUGGGCAGAGCACUCUGUGAGCGCUGCUGGGUGCCUGGCCCUGCCAAGCCACAUGGAGGCACGUCAAGAUGGCACCGAGCCCAGCUGGGGCUUUCUGCCUACCAAACAUGAGCGUGAUGGGAAUGUGGCCAAUUCAAACACUCUGUGUUUCUACUGAAGGAAUAAAAGCAAAUGAGAAUUUGUUGUUCCUAUUAUUCUCUCAUUGCUCCACAUUAUGCAGAGGACAAAGUAUUCUGUUUUACUGCUGUUGCAUUGAAAAUAUAUAUACAUAUACUACUAGUGGCUGUGCUUCUGAGUCAUGCAGUAUAUUCAGCACAUUCCUGAGAGCCUAAAUAGCCCCUGCUGAAACAGAACUAUUUAUCCCUUUAAAAGCAUGCACAGCUUUAGCAUCUUUACCACAAUGAGAUACUGAUUCUGAUUUUUUUUUUUUUGGUGGCUCAGUUAUUUUCUCUGUCAUUCUCCUUUUUAUUCAAAUAAACUAUUUCUAUGUAAAUCGGAGUUACGCUAAUCAAAACUCCCCGUCCCAAAAUGUGCAACUUUCUCACUCAGAAGUCACUGUAACUCGCAUGAAUGGUCCCGCGUGACUUCAGCAUUUUAUAAGGCAAGUCAGUAAGAGGCAAAAUGUAAGUCCAGGGAACUCUGCCUGUCAACUGCAAUUUAGUCACUGCUAUUGAUAACUGAUGCACUCACGGAGUAAGGAAGCAAAAAUGGUAAACAACAUCAACAACAAAAACCAAACACGGCACCAUUUUCAUAAUGAGCAAAAAGCUGGGUGCAAAAGGUCAAAAUCUAGACAGAAGGAAGAUUAAUAUUUUCUCUGUGUCCUUCUGUUGUCUGUAUCACCUGGAGCAGGCAGACCUGGACUUUGUUACAGGUAAAUAAUUACAGUUGUAUCUGCCAUAAAUAUCCACUUGAAGGGGCUACUGCAAAAAAAUUGAGAUUGUAUCUCCAAGCAACUGUCAAAUGGCUAGAAUAAAUUUAGAGGACUUGAAAUACUGAUGUACACUUUCUAUCAUAGAUAUCUCUUGGUCUAGACUUUCAGGCUGCGUUUUGACAGAACACAUUGGAUGACUGAGAAAUUAAGGACUCAGGACCAAAAAAAAUUACAUAGUGUUGGCACUUGUGGUUUGCGUCUUCUUUACCUGUGGUGCUAGCAAACAGGAAGUCAUUGCUUUGCAGCAGACCCAGAAAUAUCAACAGGACAUAUCCUUUUGCAUUUAAAACACAGAAGGCAAUAAAUCGUAGACUGUGAUGGCAAACCUAAAGAGGUCACUGAGUAAUGGUAGGCAUAAUAUCUGUUCUUUUCAGUGCUAUAAUAAAUCUGACAGUGUUCUUUUUUAAAGUUGGGAUGCUUCUGUACAGACUGAAGAUCAAACGUUUCUUUGCCCCUAAAAAGGAAAAAAAAAAAAAAAAAAAAAAAAAAAAAAGCACACACACGCACUUCAAUCACCUGUUUUUCAUUUUGCAUAUUCAGUGGAAUAUGGAACAAUAGAGAGUGAAAUAAUAUGCCUGUCUCUUUUCGUGUCGGUGAUAUUCUCAUAAGCCUGGACUGAAUGAGAAAAAUCUGUCCCUUAUUUAUAAGAAGAGAUAGGAAAGUCAUUCAAACUUUGAACUUGCUCAUAUGUUUACUCACCUCCCCUGCUUUCUCAAACACACACUAAAGCAUCAUUAUGGGGGCUGGGCUGACUGAAAAGCUCUAAUAUUAGGUUAGACCAUGGCCCCAGCAGGUAGCACUGACCUCCCUGUGGCCAUAUCUGACCAUACCAGUUUUCAGGGCUCACACGAUGCCUGUUCCAGAGGACUACAUUUCUCAGAUCAGAUCUUUGGGUUAUAGUCUAAGGCAUUAAGGCUUCAGGGCCUCCAGCUUGGUAAACUUUUCCUUAAUAUGUAACAUAUGCAGAAAUACUGUUCCUCAGAACAAACACGUUGCCGACACAUAACAGUUCUACCAACCAGACGUAUUUCCACCUGUGCUUGCAAUGCUGCUUGCUGCUCCCCCUGAGGCUGAACUUAGCUGCCUGACAGUGCAAAGCUCUUUGCUUCUAUAACAGCUACUAUAAGAUUGUCACAGCUGUUCCCCAAGCCAUGGCUUACCUGGCUUACCGGUUAGGCCACAUGUUACUGCUUAGAAGAAUAAUCCAGGAAUAUUCAGCAGAACAAGCUGAGAAAAGCAGCACCACUGAGCUGCCAGCUACAGAGGGUACUGAGUAAGAGGAAAAAAAAGACAAGCAGAUGGAAUGAAUAGAUACUGGUCACCAUGACUAGACCCAGGAACAGCUUUGGGCCCAGGAAAUGGGUGUUUUUCAGCAUCUGAAGCAGAACUGCAGCCUGAGGGUUGUCUGCCAAGCCUCUGUCUCACCAUCUGUGAGACUGAAGAUGCAGAAAUGCAUGAUACAGGUUUUUGUCUGCCGCCUUUAUCUAGACAUUGGGAACUAUUUAUACUUCUCGCUUCCAUUAAUCUUUUCCCACUUCUGUGUUACAACAAGCAGAAAUAGCUUGUUGUAGGGAACCAUAUGUGUCAAAGAUUCUCACAAGAGCAAGCUGUAACCCAUCGUCGUGGCUCAUUUUUUGCACUGAUGUCUAGCAAAGCAAAUUCAGUCCCUUCGGCUCCUAUGACUACUGAGCAAUGCGCCCUCUUCCCUGGCCAAGUUCUGCAGCCCAGUCAUCACCUCUUCUGCUCUGAAACAUCUGCUUCUGCCACCACUCUGAUACUGGUACAAAUGUUCAUUCUUCAGUCUUCCAGCAAUUAUCUGAGCACUUUUUCUCAUGCUACCAUUUCUGUAAAGAAGGAGCUCCCUGGGAACAACCACCAAGCCACUAAAUCUGUCUUCAUGACACUUUACUAUCUGCAGAUGGUGUGUGACAGACUCUACUUUUCCAAAUGAGCAUAUAAUCUUUGGGAAUUUUUUUUUUUUUGACUGCAUCUAUGCACUAUAUUCAUGAUACCCCCACUAUGAACAGAAUAUAGAUUUAACAUUUUAUCUUAUCUCAAGGACUGAAAUUCACAAUCAACCAUUAAGUAUAAAUAAUAUAAGAAUACUUGCUUUGAUACUGGUCAAAUAACAGCUUCAAAGGGCACUGGUAUCGAGGGAAAGAUUCCUGUGGGCAUCACGCAAGGUCAGUAGAUUCUAGAUCCAAGUCAUGGUCUAAAUUAGCACUUUUUUUUUUUUAACACAUGAAUUUAGAUUGAUAAUAUUUAUACGUCACUCAUUUGCCACUGCAAAGCCGCCUGCAUAACAACAGGACAACACUUUUGUCACCAAGCAGUGAUUGUAUCUUCUAAAUCUUGUCAGUGACUUCAGAGCCUGCAGCUGGAUGUUUAAAGGUUCCAAGCCAGUUAGCGACUGAUGCAGCUGCUGUUUGCACUGAAUUUUGAAAAGAACAUGAUUAAUUCAGUCCAGGGCUGCAAUGAAGGUUAGUAACACUGUAGAUGGAAAUACCUGAAUUAUUUUAAAACUGCGGUUGUAGUCUCUGUAUUUUUCAAGAAGGUUUCCAUCUAGUGAGGGUAAUCAAGCUCAGAGGUUUGAUUCCCCUCUCUCCUACCAGGAGUGAUACACAGUGUAAUGUAUGAAUACAAAUGUAGCAGAAGAUACAAACUGGUCCAACUGCUUAUUCAGAUUUGUCAGGCAGCAAGGAGGCAGAUUAAAUUCUCUCUAUCACUAACAGCAAGGCUGAUAGGAGAAACUCAACCAAAAGAAACAUAAGACCAAGACAUAGUUUUUAAAUCCUAUUCUUUGCUAAUUUCAAUUCACUAAGCUAGAAAUUCUUUAGGGGGAAUCUAGAGCACUAAGUCAAGGAUGCAAAUUUUCAGAUUUAGGCCUUUAUAUGUGGAAAUGGGAGAGUGGAACAAGCUUCUGUCAAGACCCACAGCUGAUGUAGGUUAUAUUAGCACUUGUAGAUGCAUAAAUGUUAACAGAUUACUAAAUCACAUCUCUAAAUAUUGCCUGAUGGUGGUAUGUUGAUAGGCCACAUUUAUACUAGUCCAAAUCUAUCUAUUUAUGUGAAGCUGUGCAUACCUAAAAAACAAACAAACAAACAAACAAACAAAAAAACAACCUGUAAGCAUUUCAUCUAGAAGCUCUUGAUCACCCAGUGGAGACUGACCACAUGCACCAGUACCCUGCUUGGUUCCCAUUUAGAGUUCCUACGGUGAAGAAGAGAAAGGAGAUCUGCAGUGUAUCACAGGAGUCCCCUUACAAGGAAGGUUAUCUGUUUAGGAGAGCUAGAGGAGAAAGUGAAGGGAAUUCCUUAAAUGUUGCAUCUUCACUAUCUGAAGAGCAGCUAACAGAUUCAGUUCUCUUGCUACUCUUUCUGGAAAUAAAGUUAAAAAUGAGAGGUGAUGGCCUUCAGUUGUGCCAGGGGAUGUUCAGGUUGGUUAUUAGGAAAAUAUUCUCAGAAAGAGUGGUGGUGCAGUGGCACAGGCUGCCCAGGGAGGUGGGGGAGUCGCUAUCCCUGGAGGUAUUCAAGAACCAUGGAGAUAUGGCACUGAGGGAUGCGGUCAGUGGGUGUAGUGGAGGUGGGCUGAUAGUAGGACUAGAUGAUUUUAGAGGUCUUUUCUUUAAAGAUACUAUGAGUCUAUGACACUGUGAUUUUCAUAAAAUGCACAGUUCUAGUUAUGGAAGAAGCAGAUAUAGUGUAUCUGACAGGUGGUGACAUUUAUCUUUCACAGUAAAUAAUCACCUGUAGUACAAGUAGAGGUAUCUGUAAUAAUACUUUACAAACAAGUUCUAGAGACAAGUUCUAACUGUUUGAAUUCACAUACUGUUUUUCAUCCAGGGACUGCAAAAUACUUUAUCACUGUGAUGGAUAUCAUUUUCCAAGGCAGAAACUAUUGGACAGAAUAUUCAAGACCUCAGCUUAUAGUUAUACAGACAGGCGGUAAUAGAAUUGGGAAUAAACUCCAUCUACCAGUUUAGAGUUGGUUUUUUGGGGGGGUUGCAGACAUCCCUACAAUAGGAAGGAAAAGAGGUUCACAAGUUUAUGCGCUGAUUACACGUUGUGUCAUCAAAUACUUUAAAAGCCCACAUGUGUGAUAGCUGGCAGAAAUGCUGGCAGAAGUACAGACUCUGAAGUGGUCAUACCAGGCCUGCUCAGAUAAGUCAUAUUCCUAUUCCAUGAAAUUAGCACGCUUAUGAGUUAUGCACUUUUGUUUGUCAGCAUUUUUCCUUAGCAUGCAUGUUCCAGAUUUCCACUACAUCAUUCAGAGGUUGGCAGGAAAGAAAAUUAAACUCUUGUGGUUGUUUUCACCACCAUACAACUUGCAAAGUCAUUUUUCAUCAAAUUUAACAGGUUAUCUGGGAAAAGACUAAUAAAUGGUGAGUGUUGCCUUUGACUUUCCCUUAGCAGAACUCAUUGUUACCUAAUUUUUGCAACAGAUUUCCUACCUCAUUUAAAACUUCAGCUAGAAGCAUUUUCCUGUUACAUAUUGCAAACAGACAUAUACAGCGACUCAAAAGCUUGGAUCGGGUUGUGCAGUCAAUAUAGCUUUUGGCAAAAGACUGGGAAGACUUCUUGCUGAAAGCUCAGAAUGAUAAAAAUAGGUCCCGAUUUUACAGUCACUGCGACAAACUGGUUUCAAAAAGCUUCACAACAGCACAAAAGGAACAAACUGGCAAAAGGGAAACGUGCUAGAUAGAUAUAUUUUUUCCCAGCAAGACUUGGGUUGACCACCUUUUGAGGCUUUCAGUGAGCUUAUAUCACUGCAUAUGGCAUGCACUGCACAAUGGAAACCAAGAAGUCAGCUUAGCAAGCAGCCAUUCUUUUCCAAAGAUUUUCUGUGAGCUCAACACAUUUAAUUCACAAUCACUUACAGAGCUUAUACAACCCCAUAAAAUAACCUACUCUCCUGAAUCAUCUCUUACCUACCAGAUAUAAUUUUCAUUAUCUUAUUUUUGUCACUUGAUCUCAUUUUUCUUGGGGUUCUAAAGGAUUUAACAACGAAAGAUAAGAAUGAGAUUAUCAGCACAAAAAUAGACAAUAAUUAAAUGUCAGUCAUGUCUGUGACAGAACAAAUGCAAUUCUGUAUCUCACUACUUUUGUUGCUGCCUGGUGCAAUACUCAUUAAAUAUUUUUACCGUUAA